AGUACUGUAAUGCUCAGGUCACCCGUUCGAUCCGGGUAGGGGGGA
rnacentral:tRNA from 1 species